AUGGGUUUGACUUCGGCGAAGGGGAUCGCCCUCACCGUCUCCUUGUUUGGCCUCCUCGCGUUUCUGCUCGGCGUCAUCGCAGAAAACAAAAAGCCUCCUUAUGGAACUCCUAUCAAGGGAAAGGAUGUUGUCAUCUGCAAGUUCCCGAGUGACCCAACGAUUGCAAUGGGAAGCCUGUCUAUUGUGGCACUUGUUUUAGCUGCUUUCAUUGGGCACGUUGCCAUCUUUUACCCGUACAAGGGCAAGUCGGUUCCUCGUGGAGCGUUAUUUCAGAGCACCAGCUUGUCUGUGUUCUUUGUUAUUGCUGAACUGGUAUCAGCUCUGGCUUUUGCAAUGCUGCUCUGGGCAACGAUCACGGAGGGUCACCAUCGCACCAGUAACGUUCACCACGACAUGGAUACCCUGUGCCCCACCGCAAAGACCGGCCUCUUUGGAGGUGCCGCUUUCCUGGCCCUUGACGCUGCUCUGUUCUGGCUUGUUUGCCAGAUGCUGGCCCUUAAUGCGAGGGCCGACUAUCUGGAUGAGGAUGAGGAUGAGGAUGACAAGGGCGAAUAUGGCCAGGUUUAUGCUGCUGAUGCCGAUGGCACGAAGGUCUGA
rnacentral:rRNA from 1 species